UACGUAGGGGGCGAGCGUUGUCCGAAGUUACUGGGCGUAAAGCGCGCGUAGGCGGUCCUUUAAGUUGAUUGUGAAAUCUUCACGGCUCAACCGGAAAACUGCGGUCAAAACUGGAGGACUUGAGAUUGGGAGAGGGAAGUGGAAUUCCUGGUGUAGUGGUGAAAUGCGUAGAUAUCGGGAGGAACACCGUGGCGAAGGCGACUCGCUGGG
rnacentral:rRNA from 1 species